AUUGAACGCUGGCGGCAUGCCUUACACAUGCAAGUCGAACGGUAACAGGUUAAGCUGACGAGUGGCGAACGGGUGAGUAAUGUAUCGGAACGUGCCCAGUCGUGGGGGAUAACUGCUCGAAAGAGCAGCUAAUACCGCAUACGACCUGAGGGUGAAAGCGGGGGAUCGCAAGCCCUCGCGCGAUUGGAGCGGCCGAUAUCAGAUUAGGUAGUUGGUGAGGUAAAGGCUCACCAAGCCGACGAUCUGUAGCUGGUCUGAGAGGACGACCAGCCACACUGGGACUGAGACACGGCCCAGACUCCUACGGGAGGCAGCAGUGGGGAAUUUUAGACAAUGGGCGCAAGCCUGAUCCAGCCAUGCCGCGUGCGGGAAGAAGGCCUUCGGGUUGUAAACCGCUUUUGUCAGGGAAGAAAAGGUUCUGGCUAAUACCUGGGACUCAUGACGGUACCUGAAGAAUAAGCACCGGCUAACUACGUG
rnacentral:rRNA from 1 species